GAUGAAGAACGUAGCGAAAUGCGAUAAGUAAUGUGAAUUGCAGAAUUCAGUGAAUCAUCGAAUCUUAGAACGCACAUUGCGCCCAUUAGUAUUCUAGUGGGCAUGCCUGUUCGAGCGUCAUUAAUUCCACUUAAGCCCUGCUUAGUGUUGGGAAUCUACUCUAGUGGUGCUACCCUGGAGCUACCCCUGAAAGGGGGCUGGCCCGGUAGCUACCCUGUAGUUCCUCAAAGAUAGUGCGCGGAGUUGCGUGGUCCUCUGAGCUUAGUAACUAUACACCUAGCUUUUGAGUGUCCCGCGGCGCCUGCCGUUUAAACCCCAUCUUUUAAUGGUUGACCUCGGAUCAGGUAGGAAUACCCGCUGAACUUAAGCAUAUCAAUAAGCGGAGGA
rnacentral:misc_RNA from 1 species